AGCUCCAGUGGUGUAUGCUAACAUUGUUGCAGUUAAAAAGCUCGUAGUCUGAUUUUUAUGAGAAUUCGUUUUAUGUGAUCUUAAUGAACUACAAUAAAAUUUGUUUAAUCUUUUUUUUCACUUGGUUGUAGUUGGAAUUCGUUUUCUGACUGUUUAUAAAGUGUGUAUUUACUUUGAGAAAAUUAGAGUGUUCUAAGCAGUCAUAUGGCUUUAUCCUAAAGCAUGGAAUGAUAAGGUAUGACAUCACUUAAAUUCUAAAGGUUUGAGAAGUUGAUGUAAUGAUUUAUAGAGUCUGUCGGUGGUAUUCGUAUUUUGUCGUUAGAAGUGAAAUUCUGGGAUCGACCAAAGACUACCAAAUGCGUACGCAUUUGCCUAGAAUUUUCUCC
rnacentral:rRNA from 1 species